UACGGGGGGGGCAAGCGUUGUUCGGAAUUACUGGGCGUAAAGGGCCAGUAGGCGGCCAACUAAGUCGGAUGUGAAAUCCCCAGGCUCAACCUGGGAACUGCAUCCGAUACUGGAUGGCUUGGAUUUGGGAGAGGGAUGCGGAAUUCCAGGUGUAGCGGUGAAAUGCGUAGAUAUCAGGAGGAAUACCGGUGGCGAAGGCGGCCUUCUGGACGGUGACUGACGCUGAGACGCGAAAGCGUGGGGAGCAAACAGG
rnacentral:rRNA from 1 species